CUGUGUUCUUUGUAGCUAGAGGCUUCCCUGCUUGGCUCCUCUUGAAGAACUUCAUUGCCUAGUCCUGUCCGGUACUCUAAGGCCAUAAAAGACAGUCAUUGACUUCAUUGAAAUGUCACAGACAUCUGAUUGGGGCAUUUUCUUCUUCUUCUUCUUCUUCUUCAUCAUCAUCAUCAUCAUCAUCAUCAUCAUCAUCAUCAUCAUCAUCAUCACCUAACAUACUGGCUUUCAGCAAAGAAUGUCUGUCCUCAAAUCACACCAUUCAGGACUUGGUUAAUUCAUUUCUCGAGCAAUUUCUUUUUUGGAAGGAAAAACAAAUAGAAAAUAUAAAGAGGUUCCACCAUGGAAACCACCAGCAUCGCGGUAAUAACCACAGCCACAAAACAAGUGAUUAACUGACUCUCCCUGAGCAUCCCCCAGCACUGCCAACAUUACUCUGCAAGAGACCUAGGAGAGAUACAUGGAUAAGAACCACAGAACAACACUGAGACAUCUGCUCCUCUGCCUGGGAAAGGUGCCGACAGGGACCUUGAUGAAAAUCCUGAUCAUCAAUUGCCUGUUAUUGGAUGUUCACUAGCCUUGGCAAGAGCAUGCUACUUAUGUCUUAAUCCUCGGCAAGACCAAAUGUGUGUACUAGAAUUAAUAUCUCCAUUUUAUAAAAGAGGAACCCAGGACUC